rfam:Bacillus sp. SJS contig_31, whole genome shotgun sequence.
AGAACCUUUAAGUGCAGUCCUGUGAGGCUGGGAAGGGUACGGCAGAUGUAAUGAUACAAUGAAUUUCUAUGCCCUCUUAUCCCAGCAGGAUAGGAGGGCUUUAUUU